GUUGUCGUGGCCGAGUGGUUAAGGCAAUGGACUCAAAAUCCAUUGGGGUUUUUCCGCGCAGGUUCAAAUCCUGCCGAUAACG
rnacentral:tRNA from 1 species